rnacentral:lncRNA from 1 species
AUGGAAACCCAGGUGCCAUCAGUGGUCCGCUCUGCCUAUUUCCAUCUGUGGCGGAUUGCCCAGCUGCAUCCCUAUCUUGAUGUUGGGGCACUCACCACUCUGGUCCAUGCGCAAUGGAAGGUCACUUCUGUUGAAGUCAGUCAGUCAGUCAGUCAGUCAGACAGACAGACAGACACACACACACACACACACACACACACACACACACACUUCAUUUUUAAGAGAGACACUCUUUUGUUAAAGCAAAGUUGCUUUGUUGAAACAAAAUUCAAACAAACACAGAGACAAUUUGUUUUAGAAAAGAACUGCACCCCUGAAGGAGAUGUCUUAUUUAAAAUUCUAAACUGGGUGCCAAAAAACCCAGCCUUGCCAGGCACAUACAGCCUGUGGAUUCAUCAUUCUCAUGCCUGCUAUCAACUCUAUGACUUCUGCCUUCAAAUCCUGAUAUUGAAUUAGGGCUCUAAACAGAGACAUGAUUAUUGCAGUAACAGAAUACAAUAACCAAGGGUAAAAUACUUAGUUUAUACUAAUGCAGUAAAGCCAAGCAUGCAAUGCUUUCUUACUAACAACUAACUCUCAUUAGCAAUAUUAGUAUUCUAAAUGUUAUUCUUUUAUAAUAAUUUCCUGAAAUAUGUGGUUUUAUUGAGCAAUCUGAUGCACAUUAACUCAAAAGCAAGUUCCACUGGUCUAAUAUAACACAUUCCCCUAGAAUAUUGGGCACCACUGGCUUAACAUGGCAUAGCCACAGCAUCUCCAACUGCCAAAAUUCAGGGAUUUUUGUUCUGAGCUAUAUACAUUAAUCCACAUUUCUUUACAUCAAUAGCUGAGAAGCUGUUAUCCUCCACAUGUUGAUGCAGUGCUAUUCCCACUAUGGCUCACCCCUAGCCAGGCUGGCUGGGACCAAACAGAACUGGAGUUCAGCAAUGUCUAGAUGGUCCACGUUUCUCCAGUCCAGCUGUACAUUGCAUAGCAAAGGAUCUUUAUUUGUAACAUACUACUUACCUACAAAUGUUUGGUCAAGGGAACACACUUCGAGAGAUUUUUGUUAAAUGAAGUGCUAUCUUUCUCAGGAAAUAUGCUUCCCUCAGCAGAAUCAAUUUAUUUUGUAACAGCAGCAUAGGAGAACAUGGCUGGAACCAUCUAUAUAUAAUAUGGGACAUCACUAAUGAAGUCCACAACUACUCUUUUCUGCACAAACUACCACAAUCUCAGCUUGUCCAAAUCUAAUCUCGAGCUCAAAGACAGUGCCUGGCAAACAACAUGCCCACAAAUGAUUUCCUAUUGAAUGAAAGAGCAGGAUGUCAAUAUUACAUGUGCUCUUCUUCUAACUCACCACAAUGGUGAAAAAUUACAAGGCGACAGUGGAGUCAGUCAGUUGCAACAAAAACAACAGAGAGCAUUGUGCCAUCUUAGUUUUACUUUGCACAAGCUCUCAUGGGCAGCAACCGACUUCAUCAGAUCAUGGAAAGAAUCUAGACUCAAUUGGCAGGCAUAAUUAUAGCUAGCAUGCACACAAUAUCUGCCAAAUGAGCAGCAUCUGAAAUCCGUUAAUGCUUACAUCAAAUAAAAUAUGUUUUAUUUGAUAAAGGUGGCA